AGAGUUUGAUCCUGGCUCAGGAUGAACGCUAGCUACAGGCUUAACACAUGCAAGUCGAGGGGCAGCGGGAUUGAAGCUUGCUUCAAUUGCCGGCGACCGGCGCACGGGUGAGUAACGCGUAUCCAACCUUCCGUACACUCAGGGAUAGCCUUUCGAAAGAAAGAUUAAUACCUGAUGGUAUGAUGAAAUUGCAUGAUAGCAUCAUUAAAGAUUUAUCGGUGUACGAUGGGGAUGCGUUCCAUUAGGUAGUAGGCGGGGUAACGGCCACCUAGCCUACGAUGGAUAGGGGUUCUGAGAGGAAGGUCCCCCGACAUUGGAACUGAGACACGGUCCAACUCCCACGGGAGGCA
rnacentral:rRNA from 1 species